UCCCAGGUGGCUCACAUGGUAAAGUGUCUGCCCGCAAAGUAGGAGACCUGGGUUCGAUCCCUGGAUUGGGAA
rnacentral:tRNA from 1 species